rnacentral:rRNA from 1 species
GAUGAACGCUGGCGGCGUGCUUAACACAUGCAAGUCGAACGAAACACCUUAUUUGAUUUUCUUCGGAACUGAAGAUUUGGUGAUUGAGUGGCGGACGGGUGAGUAACGCGUGGGUAACCUGCCCUGUACAGGGGGAUAACAGUCAGAAAUGACUGCUAAUACCGCAUAAGACCACAGCACCGCAUGGUGCAGGGGUAAAAACUCCGGUGGUACAGGAUGGACCCGCGUCUGAUUAGCUGGUUGGUGAGGUAACGGCUCACCAAGGCGACGAUCAGUAGCCGGCUGGAGAGAGUGAACGGCCACAUUGGGACUGAGACACGGCCCAAACUCCUACGGGAGGCAGCAGUGGGGAAUAUUGCACAAUGGGGGAAACCCUGAUGCAGCGACGCCGCGUGAGUGAAGAAGUAGGUCGGUAUGUAAAGCUCUAUCAGCAGGGAAGAAAAUGACGGUACCGGACUAAGAAGCCCCGGCUAACUACGUG